UACGUAGGGGCCUAGCGUUGUCCGGAUUUAUUGGGCGUAAAGAGCUCGUAGGCGGUUUGGUAAGUCGGGUGUGAAAUCUCCACGCUCAACGUGGAGGGGCCACCCGAUACUGCCAUGACUGGAGUCCGGUAGGGGAGUGUGGAAUUCCCGGUGUAGCGGUGAAAUGCGCAGAUAUUAGGAGGAACACCGGUGGCGAAGGCGCCACUCUGGGCCGAAACUGACGCUGAGGAGCGAAAGCAUGGGUAGCAAACAGG
rnacentral:rRNA from 1 species